ACAACAAAUCACACAGCUUUGAAAGUUAGUUUAACCAUCCAAAGUACUUUCAAGAUAUUUUUCUGCUUUGAAAUUGAAAUGGCUUCUGGAUGCAAAUGUGGUGAUAGCUGCUCUUGUGGAGACAGCUGCAACUGCCAAUCUGGGUCCAUCACACAGGCAAUGUCCCUGAUGUGUAGUGGGUGCAGCUGUGGGAGCAGCUGCUCAUGCGACUCAUGCGACUGCAAUUGAAGCAAUUGGAAAGAAAAUGAAGAAAAAGAAGGAUCAAACCAACAAAGCUUUUGAAUAAAAACGUUGAUGAACUCUCUGUUUUUCCUUUUUUUUUUUUUUUUUCCAUUGUUAAAAGAAUGCCAUUGAAACUGUAAGUCCAUAUAUGCAUGGAAAUAUGGUUCUUUAUGGUUUCUUGUGUGAAAGUGAAAACUAUGUUAUACGCUUUGUUGUGGAUUGGGGUUGUUAAUUCAUCAAUGUCUUAAGUAUGUUUAAA